GAUGAACGCUAGCGGGAGGCCUAAUACAUGCAAGUCGAACGGUAAAUGGUAGCAAUACUAUGAGAGUGGCGUACGGGUGCGUAACGCGUACACAACCUGCCUUGUACUGGGGGAUAGCCUCGGGAAACUGAGAUUAAUACCCCAUAAUUUUACGAUGUGACAUCACAUUGUAAUUAAAGCUCCGGCGGUACAAGAUGGGUGUGCGUCCGAUUAGGUAGUUGGUGAGGUAACGGCUCACCAAGCCGACGAUCGGUAGCUGGUCUGAGAGGACGAUCAGCCACUCGGGCACUGAGACACGGGCCCGACUCCUACGGGAGGCAGCAGUAGGGAAUAUUGGACAAUGGACGCAAGUCUGAUCCAGCCAUCCCGCGUGAAGGAUUAAGGCCCUCUGGGUUGUAAACUUCUUUUCUUUGGGAAUAAAAAGCGGUAUUCAUAUCGCCUUGAAGGUACCAGGGGAAUAAGCACCGGCUAACUCCGUGCCAGCCGCCGCGGUAA
rnacentral:rRNA from 1 species